UGCAUCUGCUGGGAAUCGAACCCGGGCGUGGCAGGCGAGCAUUCUACCACUGAACCACCGAUGC